rnacentral:lncRNA from 1 species
CAACAUUUUUCUUCUACUGACGCAGCUCUGUUACCUCUCUGAUGCCAAUGGCCAUAACAAAGGCUGGACCUAGUCCAGUCUCCCAGGGGUCCUGCUCUGAAAGAAAUGAGCCUAUUACUCAAGCCCUGAGUCAGAGCUGACUCCUGUUCCCAGCUCUGUGUAACUGAACUCUCAUCACCUACUGCUGUGUCUCUCCACUCACCAGGCCUCAGGAACCUUGGAAGGACUGAAACUCUCAUACCUUACACUUUCUCUCCUCCCAGCUAAAGCCACCAUGAUUGUAGCUGCUACCCUGUGUUGAUUACACAGAGUAAUGUUCUUUCUUUUCAUUUCAUUCAAAAAAUGCUCUUUCAUUUUAUUUUAUUUUUUUCUCUCAGGAGUUGGUGCUGAAGGCCAGUAACUGCAGGUCAGUUGAGAUGGUGAGAGGUGCUGCAAUCAUCCCUGACCCAGACCCCUAACUACAGUCCUGGCAACUUGAGGAUACUUUUAUUAUUUCUGCUUUAUUUACCUGUCUGGGUGGAACUGAAGAAGAACAAUACUGAAGUGAACUUAAUUUUUGUUGUAUUAAAUUCUCCUAUCCUGUUAGCCAUGAUGCCUCACAACCUGGGAGGAACCACUAGGUCAAGCAAUUGUCCCCUAGUCCAGUUGUUGGAUCAACUGUCAUAAAGAAGAAAAGGAACUACAAAAGAGCAUACACUGGAUUUAAGAGCCUCAAACAAUCAU